AAUCCAUGGCGAGGAAAAUUCCUUUGCAGUUCUUGAAACUCAUUCCAUGCUUCAUAGAGUGAAUCACCAUCCUUUUGAGUGAAGUUUUGAAUCUCCCUCCUAAGUCU